UAUAAAAACUUAUAAAAAAUAUUAAAAAAAUUUGAUUGGGUGUUUGGGGCUUCCUUAUAUUCUAGAUCAAGAAGAAAAAAGGAGAAGAAGAGAGAAGAACGGUUCUUCUCUUGAAUCCCUCUAUUGAAUUUUUCUAAAUCUCAAGAUUUUAUGUGAUUUUCAGCAUAAAAAAUUAGAUUAGAUCUGAUUUUUAUCAUAAAAAAUUAGAGAAAAAAAGUUCUUCUUAAGGGCAUG
rnacentral:lncRNA from 1 species